GGCGGAUCCAGGGGUGAUUUUGAGGGGCUGAAGCCCCCCCCUUUUGAAAAAACUACCAUGUGUUGUAGUCUGACUCUACAACAAUUUUGCCACCAAUUAUGCAUCUGUAGACUCACUUGAAAUCACUUGAGAGAUGCUAGACAACAGCUACUAGGAGUAUAAAGGAUCUAGGGUAGCUAGCUGGACGUACCUAGCUAGCUAGCUAGCUAUAGCUGUACGUACGUACGUACAUCUGAUCAGUACAGUAUCACCAUAGAUAGUAGAGGGGAGGGAUUGGAAACAUCUCAGGUGACCAAUGUAUUUCCCUAGAGAAUUCUGACACCAUGCGUGUUGCAUUCCGCAAGUAUUGAUUGCGAUUGAUUGCGAGACAGCUGCAAAGACAAAAGAGAAGAAACUGAAGAAAACUCCAGGUACUCAGAACAUCUGAGGAUCUGCCAAGACCCUUUGGAAAAGUUUGGCAUGCCAAUGACAGAGGGAAGGGACACUGUUAUUCAUUACGAUUGGUCGUGCAAAAGCUGUGUAGUGACCAGAUGACGGAAAUACACCACUACCUAAAUGUCGUCAGACUUACAAAAAUUAUGUUUUAUGUUUGUAAACAUCAUCAUUUCUCCAUGCAUCCUUUGUGAUUGUGUGUAUCAUAAUGUUAAGAAAUAUAAGUAUGCAUUCUAUAAUUAUGGUCAUGA